rnacentral:rRNA from 1 species
GACGAACCGUGCGAACGUUGUUCGGAAUUACUGGGCGUAAAGGGCGCGUAGGCGGCCUGUUAAGUCGAACGUGAAAUCCCCGGGCUCAACCCGGGAACUGCGUCCGAUACUGGCAGGCUUGAAUCCGGGAGAGGGAUGCGGAAUUCCAGGUGUAGCGGUGAAAUGCGUAGAUAUCUGGAGGAACACCGGUGGCGAAGGCGGCAUCCUGGACCGGCAUUGACGCUGAGGCGCGAAAGCCAGGGGAGCAAACGGG